UACGAAGGGGCUAGCGUUGCUCGGAAUCACUGGGCGUAAAGGGUGCGUAGGCGGUCGGGUAAGUCUGAUGUGAAAUCUCACAGCUUAACUGUGAAACUGCAUUGGAUACUAUCCGGCUUGAGGAAUGGAGGGGAGACUGGAAUACUUGGUGUAGCAGUGAAAUGCGUAGAUAUCAAGGUGGAACACCAGUGGCGAAGCGAGUCUCUGGACAUUUCCUGACGCUGAGGCACGAAAGCCAGGGAGCAAACGGG
rnacentral:rRNA from 1 species